GGGGGGGGGGGGGGGGGGGCGGUGGGGGGGCAGGGCGGGGGGGGGCAGGGGGUGGGGGGCUGACGAGUGGGGGACGGGUGAGUAGUGCAGCGGAGCGUGGCCAGGGGUGGGGGAUAGCGCAGCGAAAGCUGUGCUCAUACCGCAUGUGAUCUGAGGAUGCACGCGGGGGACCGAGCAGCAAUGUUUGGCCUCGCGCCUUUGGAGCGGCCGAUGUCGGAUUAGCUAGUUGGUGGGGUAAAGGCCUACCAAGGCGACGAUCCGUAGCUGGUCUGAGAGGACGACCAGCCACACGGGAACUGAGACACGGCCCAGACUCCUACGGGAGGCAGCAGUGGGGAAUUUUGGACAAUGGGCGCAAGCCUGAUCCAGCAAUGCCGCGUGCGGGAAGAAGGCCUUCGGGUUGUAAACCGCUUUUGGCAGGAACGAAACGGUGUCCGCUAAUACCGGGCGCUAAUGACGGUACCUGCAGAAUAAGCACCGGCUAACUACGUG
rnacentral:rRNA from 1 species